UACAGAGGUCUCAACCGUUGUUCGGAUUCAUUGGGCGUAAAGGGUGCGUAGGCGGUCGCGCAAGUCGGAUGUGAAAUCUCGGGGCUCAACCCCGAAACUGCAUUCGAUACUGCGUGGCUCGAGUACUGGAGAGGAGACUGGAAUUUACGGUGUAGCAGUGAAAUGCGUAGAUAUCGUAAGGAAGACCAGUGGCGAAGGCGAGUCUCUGGACAGUUCCUGACGCUGAGGCACGAAGGCCAGGGGAGCAAACGGG
rnacentral:rRNA from 1 species